CGGCGUAGCUCGCAAACCGGGGAUACAAGUGGGGAUGGCGGCGUUGGCGGCGUUGGCGGCGACUGUGGGCGGACUGUUGAGGCUACGUGCGGCCGGGGCGGAAGGACAGUGGCGUCGGCUUCGAGGCGCGGGGCUGCUGCGGGGCUUGCUGCAGCCCGACUCGGCCACCGGGGUUGCGGCGCAGAGGAGGCAUGUGGCUCACUUCACUUUCCAGCCGGACCCGGAGCCCCAGGAGUAUGGGCAAACUCAGAAAAUGAAUCUUUUCCAGGCGAUAACAAGUGCCUUGGAUAACUCAUUGGCUAAAGAUCCUACUGCAGUAAUAUUUGGUGAAGAUGUCGCCUUUGGAGGAGUCUUUAGAUGUACGGUUGGCUUGCGAGACAAGUAUGGAAAAGAUAGAGUUUUCAACACGCCGUUGUGUGAACAAGGGAUCGUUGGGUUUGGAAUUGGGGUCGCAGUCACUGGGGCGACCGCUAUUGCAGAAAUUCAGUUUGCAGAUUAUAUUUUCCCUGCUUUUGAUCAGAUUGUUAACGAAGCUGCCAAGUACCGCUAUCGCUCUGGGGAUCUUUUUAAUUGUGGAAGCCUCACUAUCCGGGCGCCUUGGGGCUGUGUCGGCCAUGGGGCUCUUUAUCAUUCUCAGAGUCCUGAAGCUUUUUUUGCUCACUGUCCAGGAAUCAAGGUGGUUGUACCCAGAAGCCCUUUCCAGGCCAAGGGACUUCUUUUGUCAUGCAUAGAGGAUAAAAAUCCUUGUAUAUUUUUUGAACCUAAAAUACUUUACAGGGCAGCAGUUGAACAGGUUCCUGUAGAACCAUACAACAUUCCCCUGUCCCAGGCUGAAGUCAUUCAGGAAGGGAGUGACGUGACUCUAGUUGCCUGGGGCACUCAGGUUCAUGUGAUCCGAGAGGUGGCUUCCAUGGCUCAAGAGAAGCUUGGAGUGUCUUGUGAAGUCAUUGAUCUGAGGACUAUACUACCUUGGGACAUGGAUACGGUUUGCAAGAAAAGUUUGGAUACGUGACAUCUUUCUAGGAUUUGGAGAUGACUUUAAAGAAGAGGACCCUAUAGCUACACCUCAGUAAAAAUCCCUCAGCUUUUUUCAUGACAUGUUAAGCUCAACACCCAAAUGCAUCUUUUGGAAUACCUAAUCAAGAAAAGCCUAUUAAAGGUAAAAAAAUAAAUACUUAUUGAACAUACAUAGACAUUAGCACACUAUGCAUAGUAAAAUGACUCUGGGACAGUUGAGGAAUUGGUUAAUGUAGUCUGAAUUUAACUGUGUUUUAAAAAACGUAGUCACACUUGUUGCUUGAGCCUUGAAGCAUUGUUUGGAAGUUAUAAUCCUGAAAAAUUGCUUGGGGACAGAGAGCAGCAGAGUGUUUGAAUGUUGCUCAGGGAAGCUACAAAAUUGGAGACCUGAGUGGGUCUAAGAACCAUAGUUCAUCAAUUCUGGACCUGAUAUUGGAGAACUAAGCUGGAAGCCUCUAAAACGUAGAACAAAAAUUCCUGAGUUUUGAAGUGCCUAGGAGACAGAGACCUACCCUGGGAAUUGGGGUGGCUUAAGAACAUCAGCGAGGAGAGUUGAAAGCUCUGAAGUGAGUAGUAAAUUGGCUCUUUUUACUUGGGGGCACCUGCCAAGUAAGUCUCAACUAGAAACUGAGAACCCAGGCGUAUAGAAUCCAUGUUUCAUGGGGUUGUAGUGACAAAAUAGGAAACUUGGAGGGGGGGGGUUGCUUAAACACACAGGUGGUCUCCCAUUCAAGAUAAAUGCCAAAUUGUAUGUGGUGGGAGCUGAAAAUACCUGAAAGUCCAAGCCAUCCCUUGAGACUGAAGUGUCAAAGACCAGUCAUACUCUCAGUUGAAAGUUGGGGAGUCGGGUCUUAGGAGCUACCAGAGGUAGAUUAAAGCUUUCCAAAUCCACAGCACAGCCUCUCUCCCUCUCAGUUCCUUACUGGAUUAAUAUAACUUACCUUCUUUUCUGUCUGCCCAGCACAACAAGGAGUCAGUCCUCCCAUCAUCUGGAACCUCAGUGAAUCAGCAUUCAGUAAAAAAUUACUAAGUAUAUGAAGAGACAGGACCAUUUGAUUCAAAACCAAGAGAAAACACAAACAAUAGAAAGCAGAAACACAGGUGAUCCAGUCAUUGGAGUUAGCAGACAAAGACUUUAUUAUGUUUAGGAAUAUAGGAGGAAGAAAAAGAACAAAAGAGAAAUUCAGAGAAGCUGCCUAUGGAAAAGAAGAACUUGAUUUUGGCAGGAGAAUGACAGUCUUUGAAAGAAACUCAGGAUUCAAGAAUAAUACUGUCCUUCAACUUAAAAUCAACUACAUACAACAGUGCCAAAAAGGAAAGAAAAAUGACAGU